CCCCAGCCCGCCGCCAUGGCCGCCUACAAACUGGUGCUGAUCCGGCACGGCGAGAGCGCAUGGAACCUGGAGAACCGCUUCAGCGGCUGGUACGACGCCGACCUGAGCCCGGCGGGCCACGAGGAGGCGAAGCGCGGCGGGCAGGCGCUACGAGGUCUUUUUCAGGUUCCCUUAGCGCCAGAAGCGGUUGGUACAGUCUGGUGCUCCUGGAGGACGCCCUGUGCCUUAAAGCAGCUGUAACCAAGGCCUCUCAAGAGGCGGCUACGGAUCCUAGCGGAUCGACACGCCACACAGCCUCGUCCCCAGCAGUAGGUGGAGGCCCUGGGGGUGCCUAACAAGCCUCAGAACACCAAGAAAUCCGCGUGGUUGUGCAGGUCUUUGCUGUUCAGUAGCAUUCCACAAAUAGUGUGUCCAAAACGCAUCUGUAGAUGUAACUUGAGUGAAUGAAUGAAUGAUUCGAGUUGCUCCUUCUACCCAAUAAAGUAGAUAAGAUUUUA
rnacentral:lncRNA from 1 species